AACCCUACCUGCCCUGCUCCCGAGGAGCCAUGACCUUCUGAGAUUCCGGCCAGACAACCUGGGGGGCCCACUCGGAGAGCUGGCAAGGGGGGCUGGGGGCUGAGUAUCCACAGGGCAGGACAGGGAAAGGGGAGGCUGCCGAGAUAGCACCCGAGCCUUGCAGCCAGAGGAAGGACUAGAUAACUCAACUGAGCAGCCCACCCCUGGGCAGCCGUGCUCAUACUCGCACUCACUCACCCCUCCCUUCCAGGCUCACCCACGGCUUCACGGGGCGUUUUCCAGGGGGCACCCCACGCCCAUUCCUUGUGGGUGAGCCGUACAGCCAACCGGAUAGGCUGAGCCGUUGGAAAGCGGUGUUUGAGAAGAGGCUGGCCACAGGGGCAGAGGCCAGCAGAGGAAGAGGCGUGGAGGAGCGGAGGUUGGAGGAGAGAGAACCCACCCGGGGAAACCCGAUCUCACGGGAGACGGGCCACAGGGAGAGGCAGCGAGAGGUUCCACGUCACCAGGGAACAGCUGGUGGGAGCCUAGUCUUCCAGAACCCUACAGAAAUAUUUCAAAUAUUCCUGACCUCUCUCUGAGAAGGCACUUGACAUAGCCCCUCCCCCCAACCUCCUUUCUCCCUUCCCCAAAUAACCCAGAUAUUUUCACCGGUCUUCCCCUCAGAGCUACUGCAAACAUAGAAAGGGAUUGCAAGUCCCUGGCCCCAGGCUGGUAUGUCUGAGCUAAAACUGCCAGGCCUCUUAGCCACUGCCGGGAGCUCCUCACAGCAGCCCUUUGUUCAAGGCCAUUUCUCCCCCAACUCCAGCCCCAACCAGCCUCCCCUCACCCAGCAAUCUCUUUGCUUUCACACUCUCCCACCAAGGGGGAGAAUUUUCUUAUAGAGGCCGCCACUUUUUUCUCUCCUAGCCUGUAUCAAAAUGAGACUGUUGCUUCAAACCCCGCAGGGGAGCCCCAUGACAAUGUGACUUGGGCACACCUGUGAACCGCCCCUCCCCCAACCCUGGCUCCUGUUGUAGAGGGUCCUAGGGCUGUCACUGGGCCUUGGGCGGUGCACUCAGGCCUCAGGAGCCUCGAGAGUUCUGCCGCUCCCUUCCCCCUCAACUGAAGGCUUCCUUCCCAAAGGCUCCUUAUGUCAUUCUGUGGAGUUCGCCCCAUCUCCAAGCCCCCAGUCUCCCCGGCCCCCAAUCUCGUGAUCUGUGCCCAUACCCGGUCUCCCUCUCCCACAUUACACGCGCUCUCCCUGAUACCCUGGGGACCCUAAAGGAUACUUCCAUU